rnacentral:tRNA from 1 species
GCCGCCGUGGUGGAAUGGCAGACACUGCGGACUUAAAAUCCGCCGGGAGAUGAUCCCGUACCGGUUCGAGUCCGGUCGGCGGCACCA